AAAAACAAACCGGUUAAUUUGGGAUACAGUCUCACUUAGAAACCCUAUACCGAAAGUUCUUCUUCACAAUCCUGCUCUUCUUCUUGUCUGACGCAAGGGUUUGACGAAAACUGCAUCCUCCACACCAAUCAUCAAAGACAGGACGUGGAACACAAUUCCAGUUGUAGUUAAUAAUAUCAUUAUGGAGGGUACAAAUGAACACUUUAAUGAUGCAUCUUCUUCAACGUCUGAGAAUCAAAUUAUACGUGGGGGACUGUCUCCACAAUUCCAAUCAAGAAGUAAGAGAAAAUCCAAAUUAAAAGACAAUGACCUUGCAAGAGGGCUUGAGAAGGUAGCAUCUCAAUUGUUUAAUAAAUUGUUAAAGAGGUUUGAAGAGUCUGCUGCCAAUUAUCCAAAAUAUUUAGCUGUGGAGCUUAACAGAUUAGGAUUUUCUAGUAUUGAUAAUCUCAAAAUUUCGAAAGCAAUGAGAUCAGAUCCAUCAAAUGUAGAGGUCUUCAAGAUUAUUAAAACGGAUGCAAAGAAGAUUGAAUUUGCUACUGGGUUUUUAGAUAACUAAAUUAGUAUUGUUAUAGAUUAUAUGUUUAUGUCUAUGUUUGAGAGGAUGAUAUUUAUAAACACCUGGAUUUAAAACUUAUGGACAUAUAUUAUAUUUUAGUGGA